rnacentral:sRNA from 1 species
GGGCGCCUGCUGUAUGACGGUCAAGGCCCUCAUGCCCGUGCGCAUAGUGAAUCUGGUCGCGCCGCUGGCCCACAAGGCCACCGACAUGCACACCACGGAUACCGCUGCCCCCGUGCAGGCCCGGUCCGGUGCAGCUUCCCACCUGAUCGGCUCCGGCCUUCGGGCGGGCGGCUUCAAUAGCGCGAUGGGUAC